rnacentral:rRNA from 1 species
AACGAACGCUGGCGGCAGGCUUAACACAUGCAAGUCGAGCGCCCCGCAAGGGGAGCGGCAGACGGGUGAGUAACGCGUGGGAAUCUACCCAUCUCUACGGAAUAACGCAUGGAAACGUGUGCUAAUACCGUAUACGUCCUUCGGGAGAAAGAUUUAUCGGAGAUGGAUGGGCCCGCGUUGGAUUAGCUAGUUGGUGGGGUAAAGGCCUACCAAGGCGACGAUCCAGAGCGGGUCUGAGAGGAUGAUCAGCCACACUGGGACUGAGACACGGCCCAGACUCCUACGGGAGGCAGCAGUGGGGAAUAUUGGACAAUGGGCGCAAGCCUGAUCCAGCCAUGCCGCGUGAGCGAUGAAGGCCCUAGGGUUGUAAAGCUCUUUCACCGGUGAAGAUAAUGACGGUAACCGGAGAAGAAGCCCCGGCUAACUUCGUGCCAGCCGCCGCCGUAAAAC